AGCUGUAGCCGUGAUUCAACCCCUAGCCUCGGAACUUCCAUAUGCCACACAGGUGUGGCCCUAAAAAAGCAAAAAAACAAAACAAAAAAAACAAAAAAAACAGCAAAAAAGUGGCAGAAAUUGCUUAGAUACUUCAGGUUUGUAAAUCAAAUGGCUUUUGCGUUAUUUCCCCCAUUAAAUUAUCUAGGUUGCCUGUUCAGCUGAGUAAAUUUAAUCACUCUAAAGAUGCAUAAAAAUUGGGGGGUGGGUAGACAUGACAGGUUUUGGAUCCUGGCUUUGCUGUUUAUGCAUAUGCGAUAUUUGGCAGGUUACUUGACCUUUAUGUGUUCUAUUAAAUGAGUAUAAGAACGAUAAUCUUAUGAGAAUUAGAAGUAAUAACCUGCAAAGGACCUUUUACCAGUGACUGCCACAUAGUAAACACUCAGUCAGCCUUAGUCCUCUUUGCAUCUUGUAUCUUUGAUGAUAUAUAUUUAGCAUAGAUUUUUAGAAGGCCUGAAUAUAGAUGGAAUUAUGCACAAACAAUUGACUGUCUACUCAGCAUUUUUCACAGUCAAUAUCUAACACUAGAAUGGAAAGAGUCAAGACUUGGAGCUUGGUUAAGUACAUGCCCUCAAAGCCCUAGGAAAGGGCUCUAUGAGGAAAUUAUAAGUUCCUCCCCUGUGCCUUUCAUAGUCUUUGUACUUUUCUACCUUGAAUUGCAGUUGUAUAUGUGCUUUAGUUAUCCCAUACUAAAAUAGAAGGUUCUUAAAGCCUGAAUCCAUGGCUUCAUCAUUUCUGCAUCCCUGAGUCCCCUCCGGUAGCAACCUUGAGUUGAAAGCAUGAAGACCAAUGACAAAUGGAGCAAACUGGACAACUCUCCUGCCCUCUAACUUUUAGGUUUUCCUGAAUGAACAGCAGAGGAGAAUAGCACGUGGUAUUUGGUGGAAGAGACAACUCUGGAAGAAAAAUUGUUCUCCUUAUUUUAGGGAAAUUAUUGGGGGUGGUUUUUGAAGUAGAAUAUGGGGAUAUUAAAACAAAACAGAACAUAAAACCUUUCAAGUGAUUUUUAAAGAGCCAGGUGAAAUGAAACUCUGGAGAGUCAUUACUGUAGGAACUCCGAGAGUAGCACUGAAGGCCUCCUAUCCCAGGGAAACUAUGUAGAGCCAUCCUUUUCUAACUCUGUAGUGCAUGGCUGGAGCUUCCGGGCCAGCACACACAAGCCAGCUCUCAACUUCCAGACCAAUGACAGGGAGGCAUGAUUCAGAUAAAUCCAGUAGAUGAUUGGCCAUUUGGGUCAGAAUCACCAGCCUCUUUCAGAGGUAAAGCUGUUAUGGAGAGUCCCUUUUUCUUUGGCAGGGUCUCAGCUGCCCAGCUCAGGUGGGUUAUGUCUACACUGGGAGUGGCAUAGCCCAUGCCAGGAGAAAUGAGCUCUGUCCUUGACUUACCCGAGGUUCUGGCACACAUGCAACAAACAAGGCUCCUGACUGCCUCUGGAUAAGCCAUUUCACUUCUCUGGACCUCAGUUUUCUCUUUAUGAGAAAUAUGGAGGUUGAACCAUAUUCCUUUUCAUCUGGAUCAUUGUUGAUGGUAUCAGAACAAAAGCUGAUGCCUCUUCAUAAUAUCUCUGUGAAAAGAUAAAAAAGGUGUUGUAACUCCUUCACUCUGUAACAUCAACAUGCAUCUGUGUGUGCAAGAGUACACACACACACAUAUACAUAUACACACUUGUCCUGGCAUCAUUUGUGCAAAGAAUCUCCUUUUUUUUUUUUUUUUUUUUUUUUUUUUUUGACUUUUUAGGGCCAAACCUGUGGCAUAUGAAAGCUCCCAGACUAGAGGUCAAAUCGGAGCUACAUUUGCUGGGCUAUGCCACAGCCACAGCCACUUGGGAUCCAAGCCCUGACUUUGAUCUACACCACAGCUCACAGCAACACCAGAUCCUUAAGCCACUGAGCCAGGCCAGGGAUUGAACCUGCAUCCUCAUGGAUAUUAGUUGUUACCACGUGUGUGUGUGUGUGUGUGUGUGUGUGUGUGUGUGUAAAACUGAGUCACUUUGCUGCAUACCUGAAACUAACACACCAUUGCAAAUCAACCAUACUUCAAUAAUAAACAAAUAAAUAUUCAAAUAGAAAUGUAAAACAGCUUACCGAAUCUUCCUCUGGCAGUCUGACCUAAUACUGCAUGUUCCCAGGUAGUGGUCCUGAGUAGGUACUGGAUCCCCCCAGUGCCUGGCACUAUAGGCAAUGACCAGCUGACUUUGAGUGGCCUUUAAGGGUUGAUUCUAUUGAUCAGGUUAUCAGGGCUGGCUGCAAAUAUCACCUCAAUAAAAAUCUCCGCAGAGCCCAGAGAUUGUGAAGCCUUAUGAAUGCCUACUUAAUAAAGCAAUUUUUGGGAGUCAACCAUCCAGUUAAUAAGAACAUUCAGCUGUGUCGUCAACAGCAUUUGUUAAUUUCUUUUCUCCUUGGGUUGAUAAAGAUCUGGUGGGACCUUACCCAUCUCUAGAAUUCAGAUCCAACUUGUUUUUUGUUUUGUUUUGUUUUUUUCUCCCCUAGAGAGCUAUGUUUUUACUAGCUAGAAAAACUGAUGAGAUCAAAGGUUAUUCUUAUUGGUAAUUUAUUGAGGAGAGAGAGCUGAUUAAAAAGCAAAGAGAGAGGGGUUUAGCUCACACACAUACACACAGACAUAAAUGCCACCUCCACCCUCCUGCUUUGCAGCCCCUACCGUGGGGGCCUCUGGACACAUUUGCAUUGAGCAGGACAAAUGGCCUAUUUUCACUCAGCUGGACUCAGCUGCCUCCCACGUGCCGCUGCCUGGCUGCCUGCUCAUUGUUCUUCAGGCUUCCAGCAGCAGGAGGCAGGGGACAUGUGGAACCACUCUCACCCUCUGGCCCCAAAUCCUGGCCCUUUUUCAUCACACCACACACCCUUUCCAAGAACCUGAAUGGGAAUCCCCCGACCUCCCUUCUGAUCACUCAUUAAUCUACCCCUUCAGCCUUUUGGCUGGUCUCGCCCAGCCCCUCUCCAUCUACACCCCCACCUCCGGGAGGAAAACUUUCUAAGUGGAAUCACUUCUUGUGAGCAGUAAGGACAAUUCAAGAAGGCAGACCACCGUCUAGUGGCAUCUGGGUGCUGAAAACUUAAAGCUCCAUGCCUCGACCUUGUGAAUGUCCUGAAAUUUGGGAGGAGUGGACAUAUACCCAUUGGGAGACUACCUUGAGCCAGCCCCUCAGACUUGUCUUUAUGCCCUUACGGGGUUCCCUGGUGGCUCGGUGGGUUAAGGACCAGCAUUAUCACUCCCGGGACGUGGGUUUGAUCCCUGGCCCAGGAACUUCUGCAUGCAAUGGCUGAGAUCAGAAGAAAGAGAGAGAGAGAGAGAGAGAGAAAGAGAGAGAGAGAGAGAGAGAGAACCUACCCUUAAAGAGACGUUGCUGAGUUGGCUUUCACCUUUAAGAAGUUGCCUUUCUAGUUGGGAAGAUAAAACAUGACCACAUGAAGAGGAAGUAAAUUAUGAAUUGCAACGGAACACAACAGCAUCAGAGGAGGAAAGGUGAAUUUCAAAGCUAGAAGACUCAGGAAAAUCUUGAAUGAGGAAGUGGGAUUUGAUUUGAGACUUAAAGGAUUGGCGAGAUUUGCACAAAUAGGGUGGGGAGAGAGAGCAGUGGUUUGAAUAACGAGGAGGCAGGAAUGUGAGAAAGAACAGCAUGUAAAUACAGGACAGCAACUAUAGCGUCACUGGGCAGAGGGUUGGCUCAGGUGCUGAGCCAGUGCCGAACGAACCUGGGAAGAUAAGAGAGGUUGGGAGUGGAAAAAAGGGUUCAAGAGACCUUUAUUUCUCCCCUUCUCUGACUGCCGUUGGACAAAGAGUCAUUUGCAGCAUCGCUAUUUCUGAGAUAGGAACACUUCCCUUUAGUCUCUCAGGAUGAUGUGAUGGGGGUGACGAAGACGCCGUCUGUAAAGCACUUAAGAAAUAAGCAGCCUGUUCCAAAUAAGAAAGCAAGCCCCUUAUUGUUUUAAACCGAGCCUUCUCUGUUUAAUGAAGCAGCUUCUCACCUAAGCUGCUCCCUGGGUGUUUACCAGGCAGUUUAGGAAGCAGCGGGAAUCUCUGCCAGGCCCCAGGCUACCAUUUAGCACACUGGAGCAGUAACUUCUGGAAUGGUCCCCCAGCGGCCUGACGGGGUCCUGUUCUCUGUGAGGUGUCCAUUUGACUCCCAGGGAAAGGGCUGGCUCAACAGUUAUAAUCAAGCAUGCACAGCGCGUGAGAUGCUGAACAGAGUACAUGCUUAUCGUGGCCCUUUUAUGUUUCAGGGAACAGAGCGCAAGCCUGGGGAGGGGGCAUGUUUCUGGCAAUUCGGAGAGCUCGGAGCUGGGGUUGUCUGGCACAGGGAGACCUCAGGAUGCAGAAGUCAAUGUACCAAAUUCUUACUGCUUCAGCCGCCAGAUGUGGAUUUCAUUUUUGACUCUUCCAUGUGCCACAUUGCCAGUGUGAAACCCUCGAGAAAAGGAGGUGCAAGGUUAUUUUUGAGGGGACCACCUCCACGCCUGUUCUCUGCCCUGCUCUAUGUUGCGUGUGAGGCCAUAGACGCAUCUGAGCACUGAAACCAGAGCAAAGAACUCAUACACGUUUGCCUUUGUCUUUUAAACGGAAAAACAUCUUCAAAUGUUUUAUAAGGACAUGUCCUUAAUAGUACCAUCCUAGCUUAUUCUCCAAACCAUCACACUUUUUAAAAAAAGUUUUAAUGGGAAUAAAAGCUGAGUUUUUAGUAGACCCAAGCAACCAUUUUCAUUCUCAUUUCCUGGACAUGGGUUCACUGCUUUGGCAGCUUUCCUCAAAGUCUACUGUCAGUGGACAUACACAGAGUAACCUCCUCCCUUUUUUCACCUAUAGGUCUGGGAAAUGCAAGUUUAUAGGCAUUCUCCAUAGAGAAGAGAAUUGAAGGUGUGAAUACUUUCUACAGAACUAAAGAGAACAUUUUUUUCUUUUUUUUUUCUUUUUAGGGCUGCUCCUGUGGCAUAUGGAGGUUCCCAGGCUAGGGAUUGAAUCUGAGCUCCAGCUGCUGGCUUACACCACAGCCACAGCAACUCGGGAUCCUCGCUGCAUCUGUGACCUACACCACAGUUCACGGCAAUGCUGGAUCCUUCACCCAUUGAGCAAGGCCAGAGAUCGAACCUGCAUCCUCUUGGAUGCUAGUAGGAUUCUUAACCCCCUGAGUUGCAAUGGGAAUUCCUGCAGAGAACAUUUUAAAUAAAGGUAAUAGGCAACUGUAAGGUCUUUAAGCCUGUUUCUCCCAGCGGGGGUCCAGGAAGGGCAGGCAUUGGACACUGUUGGCCUCCCAGGUGGAAGCUGCCUCCCUCUUCCUUGCCUUCUGGAUCCUGGGAGGCAACAGGACUCACUCCAAAGUGCCCCAACAGAGUCAGUAGGCUGAUGAUGAGAAGCUGCCCCCGACACAUGCAGAUCUUGGAACGUGUCAAUCUUGAAUCUGGUUAUUGGGACGAAGAUGAGGGGUGAAGGAUGGAAAUAAUUACAUGAUAGCAGCUUCAGGGUGAUAAGGUCCCCCGAAGUGCCUCUCUUCCCCUGUUUUUAGCCCAAGAGUACUAUAGGGUCCCAUAUUCUAGGACAGAGCAAUUGCGUAGAGAUCUUUAUUGGACUUCUCUCCUCCACCAUCCCUUUUCCUCAGCAACCCCCAGCACUAGGGAGAAAAAUAUUCAACCAGUAAAGCUCCAUGUUCAUUCCCCAGGCAGAGAGAAGACCUCACAGCUGAUGCCACAGAUACUUUCAGAGAGAAGGACUAACACAAAUGCCAACUGAAGUUGAAGGUCAGGGUGCCUUUAUUGCUGACCUGAGAUUUCCUUCAUCCAGUCCUGAGAUUUCCCCCAGUGACGUUUUGCCACAUGGGGAGAUUCUUCAAAAGCCACUAUGGUACCACCUGGCCGGAUGCUGGAGCUUCUGAAACCAACUCAGACUGAAGGGAUUCUGCUGUGAGUCAGCCUAUCUCAGUUCUUGAAGAGAAGCUUUGGGAGGUCAUUUCCAGUUUUUCAGAGUUCCCAAAUGGGCUUGUUCUGCUCUGGGGUAUUUUGAAAUCUCAUAAAUACUUCUUUGGCAGUGCUUGUGAAACAAAUAGCAGUGGUAACCCAUCAUUGGGUCCUGGUUAAUACUGAAAGAGAGAGAAACAGAGACAGAGAGAUGAGGAGGAGGUAGGGGAGGAGGAAGAGGAGGAGAAGAAAAAGAAAGAUUGGAGUUCCUGUCGUGGUUACGAAUCCGACCAGGAACCAUGAGGUUGCGGGUUUGAUCCCUGCCCUUGCUCAGUGGGUUAAGGAUCCACUGUUGCCGUGAGCUGUGGUGUAGGUCACAGACGUGGCUCGGAUCCUGUGUUGCUGUGGCUGUGGUGUAGGCUGGUGGCUAUAGUUCCGAUUUGACCCCUAGCCUGGGAAGCUCCAUAUGCUGUGGGAUGUGGCCCUAGAAAAGGCAGAAAG
rnacentral:lncRNA from 1 species